rnacentral:rRNA from 1 species
AAGUGGUUUAAUAUAAAUGUAAUGAGGAAGAACCUUACCUACUCGUGACAUCUAACANAAGCCAGCGGAGGNGCAGGUGUGCCUUCUGGAACUGUAAGACAGGUGCUGCAUGGCUGUCGUCAACUCGUGUUGUGAAAUGUUGGGUUAAGUCCCGCAACGAGCGCAACCCUUAUCCUUGUUUGCCAGCACUUCGGGUGGGAACUCCAGGGAGACUGCCGGUGAUAAACCGGAGGAAGGUGGGGACGACGUCAAGUCAUCAUGGCCCUUACGAGUAGGGCUACACACGUGCUACAAUGGCGCAUACAGAGGGCGGCCAACUUGCGAAAGUGAGCGAAUCCCAAAAAGUGCGUCGUAGUCCGGAUUGGAGUCUGCAACUCGACUCCAUGAAGUCGGAAUCGCUAGUAAUCGUGGAUCAGAAUGCCACGGUGAAUACGUUCCCGGGCCUUGUACACACCGCCCGUCACACCAUGGGAGUGGGCUGCAAAAGAAGUGGGUAGUUUAACCUUCGGGAGGACGCUCACCACUUUGUGGUUCAUGACUGGGGUGAAGUCGUAACAAGGUAACCG